UACGUAGGGGGCAAGCGUUGUCCGGAAUCAUUGGGCGUAAAGCGCGUGUAGGCGGCCUCGUAAGUCCGCUCUGAAAGCCUGGGGCUCAACCCCCAGGAGGCGGGUGGAUACUGCGAGGCUCGAGUACGGAAGAGGCGAGUGGAAUUCCCGGUGUAGCGGUGAAAUGCGCAGAUAUCGGGAGGAACACCAAUGGCGAAGGCAGCUCGCUGGGACGUUACUGACGCUGAGACGCGAAAGCGUGGGGAGCAAACAGGG
rnacentral:rRNA from 1 species